rnacentral:rRNA from 1 species
CAGCCGCCGCGGGAAUACAGAGGGUGCGAGCGUUAAUCGGAUUUACUGGGCGUAAAGCGUGCGUAGGCGGCUUCUUAAGUCGGAUGUGAAAUCCCUGAGCUUAACUUAGGAAUUGCAUUCGAUACUGGGAAGCUAGAGUAUGGGAGAGGAUGGUAGAAUUCCAGGUGUAGCGGUGAAAUGCGUAGAGAUCUGGAGGAAUACCGAUGGCGAAGGCAGCCAUCUGGCCUAAUACUGACGCUGAGGUACGAAAGCAUGGGAGCAAACAGGAUUAGAUACCCCUGUAGUCCCUGUCUCUUAUACC